rnacentral:rRNA from 1 species
GUGGGGAAUCUUAGACAAUGGGGGAAACCCUGAUCUAGCCAUGCCGCGUGAGCGAUGAAGGCCUUAGGGUUGUAAAGCUCUUUCAGCUGGGAAGAUAAUGACGGUACCAGCAGAAGAAGCCCCGGCUAACUCCGUGCCAGCAGCCGCGGUAAUACGGAGGGGGCUAGCGUUGUUCGGAAUUACUGGGCGUAAAGCGCACGUAGGCGGAUCAGACAGUCAGAGGUGAAAUCCCAGGGCUCAACCUUGGAACUGCCUUUGAAACUCCUGGUCUUGAGGUCGAGAGAGGUGAGUGGAAUUCCGAGUGUAGAGGUGAAAUUCGUAGAUAUUCGGAGGAACACCAGUGGCGAAGGCGGCUCACUGGUCCAUUACUGACGCUGAGGUGCGAAAGCGUGGGGAGCAAACAGGAUUAGAAACCCCAGUAGUCC